CAAAUGCAAAACUUUACACUAUGGCAGAGCUUCAAUUAGUUGGGAACAACAAUCAUCUUCUUGGAGUUGACCUUAAACUAUCAUGCUAUUUUGUAGAUGACCAUGCUUUUGUUAGUUUUAUAACAAUUGUUCUUGUUGUAAGCAUGAUUGCAAACACUAGGAUGUAAUCCAAACUACAAUAAGUUUAAGCCAUCCAAACAUUGUAGCAUUUCUUAGGUAUUGUGUAGAGCAUGGACAACAUCUCCU
rnacentral:lncRNA from 1 species